ACUAAAAUUAACAGAAUUAAUUGCUGUUCAGAAUUCAAUACCACUUUUUGUCUGGAAGCAGCUGUAAAGGCAGAAGAUUAAUGUGGAGUCAUUUGAGCUGAAUGUUUUUGCCACUCCACAGAUUUCUUUACUUCAGGUGAAGCCAAUAGCAGCAGGAUCAGAGCUGUUACUUUUGCUUUUUCCCCAGCAUAUUUGGGCAUGCACAAGCCAAGCUUUGUCACAUGUGGCCUCUAAGGAAUCGUGAACCCCAACACUGUGGGCUGGGCUGAAGGAGUUGGCUAAUGGAGAAUUUACGCCGGCGCUGCUCUCCCUUUCCAUAAUCCUGCCCGGCACCAGGAAAGCCUUUGAACGAGGGAGACACCGCGAUUUGCUCGCAGGACCCAGCACCGAUGCCUUUCAGGCCACCUAGGCAGGAGGGGCUUGGCUGAUCCUGCAAAUACCUGCUUGCCUGUUUUAGUCAGCGGUUGGAGUCACAAAGGAAAGAAACGCUUUGAAAUGCUAAAAGCUGCCUGACCAAAGGGACGGGCUGAGGGUGUUCCCACCUGCCUCGUUCCAUUCCUACGUGCGCUGCCCACCGCCUCCAAACCAGUCUCGCCUGUCCUCCCGCUGUGUCCUCAGCAGCUGCCGGGCCUCCUCUCCCCUUCUCCCGGCUCCCCGUCCUCGGGGAAGGUGUUGGGGUCCGUGGAGCUCAGAUUUAAAAGCCCGGGCACAGAAACAAUGGCGCGGUGCCGGAGGCGAGGCCGGGGCGAGGCGGCCGGCAGGGCUCAGUCAGGCCCAUCGGGGCCUCGGAUUUCCCUUCAGCGCUGGAUGCGGUGACCCGGCAGGGAUGGGGAGGGGAGGUCGGCUGGGUUUGUCCCGCAUCUCUUCCCCUGCUGUGGCCGUGUGUGAGGGUGAAUCCCGGCAGAGUGAGGGGCUCCUCGGGCCCCUCAGCACCUUGGCAAGGGCCUGUCUCUCCCCAUCAGCUGCCCGUGGAGCUGAGGGCAAUGCUCUCCUCUGCGAAGGGCUUGUGCUUCAGGUGGGGUGUUUCUUUGACUCUUGCUAUCUGUGCUUCAGGAGGUUUUGCUGAUUUGCAAUUAAAUCUCCUUUCAUGUUGGUUUUAAUUGCCUUCUCAGUUCCCCAUACUACAGAGUAAUGCUGAAGAAUACAUUUUUAGCUUUUCAAUUCAUCUCCUCCUCAUUUCAGCUGUGUCUGUGCUUUUCUCCUUGCUGUUGUAGUGUGAAAUAUUCAGGGAGAAAUGUGAGAUUCCCUCAUCUGAAAAUCAUGUACCACAUCUUAGAGCUUGCCAUGAGGCACGGGAAUUUUCCUGGCUCUACCUGCUUUGAAGAGCAAACAAAGGAAAGCUGCAAGCACUACAGUGUCUGGUCUUGGCAGAUGCUUUGGAGACCAGCCCAUUUUCAUGUAAAUUAGGUUGUUGCUAUUAGUUUAUUUUUUUUUUUCCAGACCUGAGUGAUUCCUCGAUCACUUUUCCAUUUUCAUGAAGCAGUUCGUGAAUCACAUACAUGUAAAAUGAAAGAGUUAGCAAAUGUUGCUUCCCUUUGAUGUAGGGUAGUCCUGCCUUCUCUGUUCUUAACUGCUCCCUGGAAUUUUCCAUCUUAAUAUGAACAUUUCAGUGAAAGGUAACAAAGAAAUCCCCUCACUACUUUGUACCUGUUUAAAGAAAACAGGUAGGUUGUGAAAGCUAAAAUGAAAACAAAACUGGUUUGCAGCUGAAUGGUUGUGUAACCCCCAAUGUUAAGAGAUGAGAGAGGAAAGGGCCAAGGAAGAACAUUCAGAGACAAACCCUUCAGGUGUGAGACAGAGGCGAAGGUUAAACAGUCCCUGCUCAGGGACUCCUGCUCCUGUAACCUUGUGCCAUUGUAGCAUUCUCUUGUGUUGUAAAAGUGGCUUUAAAUGCAGACAUGCUCCAUUUGUCUCCAUUUGGAGAUGUAACAUCAGGAUCAAGUGCACCACAACUCAGUUCAAUGUUAACAUCUUUUCCCAACCUUUUUUCCUUCAUGCUGAUGGCGUUUUAUGUUCUUGAGAUAUUAGUUUGGUGGCUCCUUUUUUUUUUUUUUUCCUUUAAUCCAACCUGUUCCUUGGAGCUGAUGCAAUUAAAAUGGCACCACCCUCAGACUCGGA